rnacentral:rRNA from 1 species
AUUGAACGCUGGCGGCAUGCCUUACACAUGCAAGUCGAACGGUAACAGGUCUUCGGAUGCUGACGAGUGGCGAACGGGCGAGUAAUACAUCGGAACGUGCCCGAGAGUGGGGGAUAACGAGGCGAAAGCUUUGCUAAUACCGCAUACGAUCUCAGGAUGAAAGCGGGGGACCGCAAGGCCUUGCGCUCACGGAGCGGCCGAUGGCAGAUUAGAUAGGUGGUGGGAUAAAAGCUUACCAAGCCGACGAUCUGUAGCUGGUCUGAGAGGACGACCAGCCACACUGGGAGUGAGACACGGCCCAGAUUCCUACGGGAGGGUGCAGUGGGGAAUUUUGGACAAUGGGCGCAAGCCUGAUCCAGCCAUGCCGCGUGCAGGAUGAAGGCCUUCGGGUUGUAAACUGCUUUUGUACGGCACGAAAAGACUCUGGUUAAUACCUGGGUCCAUGACGGUACCGUAAGAAUAAGCACCGGCUAACUACGUGCCAGCCGCCGCCGUAACAC